rnacentral:rRNA from 1 species
UACGGAGGGUGCAAGCGUUAUCCGGAUUUACUGGGUUUAAAGGGUGCGCAGGCGGAUAUGUAAGUCAGUGGUGAAAUCUCCGGGCUUAACCCGGAAACUGCCGUUGAUACAAUAUAUCUUGAAUGCUGUGGAGGUAAGCAGAAUAUGUCAUGUAGCGGUGAAAUGCUUAGAUAUGACAUAGAAUACCUAUUGCGAAGGCAGCUUACUACACAGAUAUUGACGCUCAUGCACGAAAGCGUGGGGAUCAAACAGG